UACGUAGGGGGCAAGCGUUGUCCGGAUUUAUUGGGCGUAAAGAGCGUGUAGGCGGCCAGGUAGGUCUGCUGUGAAAACUCGAGGCUUAACCUCGAGAUGUCGGCGGAAACCAUCUGGCUAGAGUCCGGAAGAGGAGAAUGGAAUUCCCGGUGUAGCGGUGAAAUGCGCAGAUAUCGGGAAGAACACCCGUGGCGAAGGCGGUUCUCUGGGACGGUACUGACGCUGAGACGCGAAAGCGUGGGGAGUGAACAGG
rnacentral:rRNA from 1 species